ensembl:lncRNA
CCAGCUGACAGAAACCACUCCUUCUGCCACACGUCCACAUCCUGCUGUUCAGGAUAUGCUGUAUAUUUGUGCUGGGAGCUCAGCUGUGCUUUAGACCUGUGUGUUUAAUUCUAUAUCAUAGCAUCGCUAAAAUGAUCUUCUCAGUAGUUAUUUUCAUACUUAUUUCUGUUGCGGCAUCAGAAGGUCCUAUAACAAUCCCAACCACUGUUAUGCCAGCUAUAGAGACACAGCAGCCUAACAGUUCAACAGUCCAGUCCACAAACCCUCGAGAUACUUCUGAGUCACAGACCACAACACAACUAAUCAUAGCUCAACAAACAACACAAAUGGAUGUCAAAAACAACACUCAGUCAACCACUUCACAAUCCACCUGGCCCAAGACAUCUAAACUGACAACGUCUGAACUGAAAAUCACCACCGUCUACUCUAGUGAAAUGACAUUUUCAGCAGAACCAAACAGCACAUCCAUUAACACAGCUCUGGGAGACAGAGAAGAACAAGAUUUGGCAGCAAAUCCAGGGCUGGUUGCAGUGCUGUGUAUUUUCUGCAUUGUGGUGGCUGUAGUUGUUGUGGUUGUGAUAGUGAAGGCUGUUCGCUCCAGGAGACCUCAGUUUGAGAGGCUUGAUGAUGUACCUAUGGGCAAGGUAAAUGAGGAAGCACCGUUUGCCCGCUACCCUCCAAAAUAAAGGCCAGUUUCUUAUACGUGCUGUCUCAGUGAACGACGUAGCUAUGCCUCUGAUAUUUCGCUUUUUGGUUUUGAAAUGAAAUGUGCCUUUUUAACCUACAGACUUAAUGUGCAAUACAUAGUGUAUUAGUUGUGAAAUAUGAUAAUGUGCUUUUUUUCCCCCUUAAAAUACCACAGCCAAUGACAAACUUGUAGUCAAAUGAAGAAAUCUAACUUCUUAUGUCCUAUAUUUUUGUAUUGUUUAUGCCAUAUUCUUCUCUUGUAAGCCCGUUUUGAUUAAAACUAUCUUUUGAAAAAAUCUGCUUAAUUAAUACAUAUAAUUGGAAUGUAAAUGUACAUAAUGACGACUGCACUGUCAAUAUUUGUGAGAGACUAUGACGGGAGUGUGACAUUUUCAGCCUGUCCUCCAGAUGGCGCCAAAAUUGUUCACAAGCAGUUGUACUGUAUGUAUCUUUAACAUUAUUUGAGAACUGAGAGUUGUUUUUGCUCAAAAUAACAAAUACCUUUGGCCUUGGACCACCUCAAAUGAACUUAAUACAAUUCGACAAAUGUAAUGUAAAUAAAUAAAAAUUUUGCAUUAAAGCA